AAAUUUAGAUUGUAUGAAAAGGUUUCCAUCCAGAUUUAUGAUUGGAAUAUGGUGGCUAUCCAUCGUUAUUCUAGGGUCUAGUUAUAGCGGAACUUUAAUGUCGUUCAUGACUUAUCGUCUUACUGAAAAAGUUCCAAACACUUCCGAUCAGUUAGCAAAUUCUAUACUAACAGGUGAAUAUUCUUGUGGAGUAGCCAGUACAUCUACUAUAUGGCAAACUAUGCAAAAUUCCAAUUUAAAGUCUGCGAAGAUCAUAUCAAAACAUAUAAUACAAAACAACAACUUUAUUAAAUUAAACAAUGGAAUUGAAAGAGUACAGAAAGAAAGAUUCGCUUUAAUAUAUGCCGAUUAUUUAUUAAAAAGAAACUUGGAAAUGAUUUAGACAACUUUGUAUUCUGGAAUGACAACCUGUUUACUUUUAUGGAAGCAUAUGCAAUGAGGAAGAGUUUUCCGUUGAGACAUGAAAUUUACGAAAUAACUUGUCGAAUAUUCGAAUUUGGAAUCAUCGAGAAAAUCGAUUAUGCUGAACAUUCUAGAACAAACAGAGAUGCAGAAUUUCAUGAAUUAUUCAUCAAAGAUGUCAUCAGCCCCUUUCUGUUACUUUUAUUAGGCUACAUUCUGUCUCUUCUCUGCUUUUUUAUUGAGAAAAUAUAUGUAAAAUUAUUCUGUAUUUUAAGGAUUCUGCCAAAUUGAAUAUUUACAUUAUAUUUAGUAGUAGAGAGUUAAACUGCUUCACGUUUCGCUUUUACAAUCAAACGCACGAAAUGGUAGAAAAACAAUAAUUAGAUUUUAGCUGAAAUAUGCUGUAUUGUUGAUAAGCCAAGUUAGUCUAAAAAUUAAUGAUACACGUUUUUCAAAAAUUUUAUGGUAAUUAACAAACGUUUAAAUCGUUUUCGAAAUGCACGUUAUGUAAAUUACUGAAUCAUUUUCGUGAGAUUAUUUUUACUUGUUUUGUAACAUGGUCUGCAUUUCUUGUGGAAGAAGACGAAGAUAAUAUGAAGUGUUACAUAACCUGUUACUUGAAUAUCAUUAAAACAAGGUGGAUAGACGAUUAUAUUGCUAAGAAGUAUUGUAUGUUGUACUAGGGCAAGUCAUUACUAGUUUGAAAUGAGAAACAUUAUUAUAUUUUAAAUUAAGGAAAUUACUACUAAAGUUAAAAAUUGCAGCUCCGCAUUGUGAUAAUGUCACAAUAAAUAAUUGUCUGUUUUUCAUAUACUAACUUUCUCUACACCAGAUAAACGGUUUGAAGUACCAAAGAAUAAUUGGCAAAUUAUGAAUAAUAGACAUUACAAUCUGUUAAAUAUUACUUUAUGUUCAAUAC